UUUUUCCACGGAUUUUAAUUUUGAUUUUGUGCAGAUUUAACGAUUGGGGUUACUUCUUACUCGGUGCAAAUCUUAAGGCUUUCAUUGAUUCACUGUUUAGGUGUCCAUACGAGUCAUGCAAGAGUUGCUGCUCAAAAGCUCAAAAUCCAUGUCAUACUCAUGUUUUGAAAUCAAAUGCAACAUUUCCAGACAAGGCACCAACCUCAAGCUCUCCUCUAUUUGACCAUCAAUCAAUUGAGGCAUCACCAUCAGGGAAUUCACAUCGAGUUGCAUCACUCUGGCAACUUUCGAACAAUUUUACUCAAUUCAAUAAUGUGCAUCUUCCCAUUUGACCAAAAAGGAUGUCGUGGCUAUUAAUGAGUGGAGAUUUUCCAAGUUAAAGGAAUACUACAAGGACAGAAACAUCGAAGUGGAAAUGGACCUUUUGAUCGAUACACGCAGAAUGUGACCCUUUUAGAGGAAGUGUUUUCUGUGAAAUCUUUCAUGGAGGAGUCCAUUGGGGAUGAAGCUGAACUCAAAUCCAUUUCAACCGAUAAUACUACUACUGCUACUACAGAAGAAGACACUGAGGCUAUGGUCUCAGGGUUGAAGUUGAAGUUGAGAUCAAAUCCAAUGAGAACCAAUAACUUCAGAAAGAGGAUACAGCAUGCUGUUGAUGAGGGAUUAAAGACUUAAAAAAACGUGAGUUAGAUGAUGGGGGAGAAGGAACAAAGUGUGGGAACUGAAUUGGAUCAGGGGCCCAAAGAAGGGGAAAAAUGGGGGGCCGAAAGGGAUUCUGCUGUAGGCGAUCUCAUUGAUAUGCUGAACAAGGCCCGAAAUGAGGAGGAUCUGAAGUUGUGCUUGGAGAUGAAAUCUCAGCUCUUCAAGGAACAUAAUUGACUAGUACAUCAGAAUCUGAAGAGAAAGAGGCUACGAAGAAUGAUUAAGAACCCCGAAAAGAGUCGAAUUAUUCAUUUCCCAAAGUCGUUAGCACUACCGAAAUCGAUCAAGAAACUCUCAAUAUCGUCCACACUCACUACUCUUCCCUUGAGCAUAUACAAGGUAGAGGAUCUAUGAUUUGUGGGAGUUGCUAUAGAUUAAUGUAGUUUCUUCCCAGAGUUUCCUUUCUAGUCAAUAAUAAAUCAAAGGAUGCUUAGAAGUUGCUUCAAAUCUACAUUUUCAAUUUGGAUCCAACAAUGGCAACUGAUUUUUCUUGUUUUAAUGUAGCAAUGAAAAUUGCAUAAAGCCAAGGACCCCUUGGGUAGGCUAAUGAUUCUUCAUCUUGAUAGCUGUUUUCUGUAAUAUAUUGAGUGUAGGG